rnacentral:tRNA from 1 species
GGGGGAUUAGCUCAGCUGCAGAGCAUCGGCUUUGCAAGCCGAGGGACGUCGGUUCGAAUCCGACAUCCUCCA